rnacentral:rRNA from 1 species
CAGAGGGGGCAAGCGUUAUUCGGAAUUAUUGGGCGUAAAGGGCGCGUAGGCGGCUUUUCAAGUGACGGGUGAAAUCCCUCGGCUUAACCGAGGAACUGCCUGUCAGACUGGAAGGCUUGAGACCGGGAGAGGUGAGUGGAAUUCCCAGUGUGGCGGUGAAAUGCGUAGAUAUUGGGAGGAACACCAGUGGCGAAGGCGGCUCACUGGACCGGAACUGACGCUGAGGCGCGAAAGCGUGGGGAGCGAAACAGGAUUAGAUACCCUGGUAGUCCACGCCGUAAACGAUGAGUGCUUGGUGUAGCGGGUAUCGACCCCUGCUGUGCCGAAGUCAACACGAUUAAGCACUCCGCCUGGGGAGUACGGUCGCAAGACUG